rnacentral:rRNA from 1 species
AAUCAACGCUGGCGGCGUGCCUAACACAUGCAAGUCGAACGAGAAGGUGACUUCGGUCACUGGAUAGUGGCGUCCGGGUGAGUAACACGUAGGUAAUCUACCUUCGGGUGGGGAAUAACGUCUCGAAAGAGACGCUAAUACCGCAUAAUGCAGCGGCACCUAAUGGUGAUUAGUUGUUAAAGCGGGGGAUCUUCGGACCUCGCGCCUGAAGAGGAGCCUGCGGCAGAUUAGCUAGUUGGUGAGGUAAUGGCUCACCAAGGCUUCGAUCUGUAGCUGGUCUGAGAGGACGGCCAGCCACACUGGCACUGACACACGGGCCAGACUCCUACGGGAGGCAGCAGUGGGGAAUUUUGGGCAAUGGGCGAAAGCCUGACCCAGCAACGCCGCGUGAAGGAGGAAAUCCUUCGGGAUGUAAACUUCAUAAGUAAGGGAAGAAAGCUGCGGAUCGAAUAAGUCCGCAGUCCGACGGUACCUUACGUAAGCC